CGACGGUGAAGUCCCUUGCGGAUGGAGCUAUUGAGAGUCGCAGAUACCAGGUGGCUGCAACUGUUUAUUAAAAACACAGCACUGUGCAAAAUCGUAAGAUGACGUAUACGGUGUGACGCCUGCCCGGUGCCGGAAGGUUAAUUGAUGGGGUUAGACUUCGGUCGAAGCUCUUGAUCGAAGCCCCGGUAAACGGCGGCCGUAACUAUAACGGUCCUAAGGUAGCGAAAUUCCUUGUCGGGUAAGUUCCGACCUGCACGAAUGGCGUAAUGAUGGCCACGCUGUCUCCACCCGAGACUCAGUGAAAUUGAAAUCGCUGUGAAGAUGCAGUGUACCCGCGGCUAGACGGAAAGACCCCGUGAACCUUUACUACAGCUUGGCACUGAACAUUGACCCUACAUGUGUAGGAUAGGUGGGAGGCUUUGAAGCACGUACGCCAGUAUGUGUGGAGCCGUCCUUGAAAUACCACCCUUGUAGUGUUGAUGUUCUAACGUCGACCCCUUAUCGGGGUUGCGGACAGUGCCUGGUGGGUAGUUUGACUGGGGCGGUCUCCUCCCAAAGAGUAACGGAGGAGCACGAAGGUGGGCUAAUCACGGUUGGACAUCGUGAGGUUAGUGCAAUGGCAUAAGCCCGCUUGACUGCGAGAAUGACAAUUCGAGCAGGUGCGAAAGCAGGUCAUAGUGAUCCGGUGGUUCUGAAUGGAAGGGCCAUCGCUCAACGGAUAAAAGGUACUCCGGGGAUAACAGGCUGAUACCGCCCAAGAGUUCAUAUCGACGGCGGUGUUUGGCACCUCGAUGUCGGCUCAUCACAUCCUGGGGCUGAAGUCGGUCCCAAGGGUAUGGCUGUUCGCCAUUUAAAGUGGUACGCGAGCUGGGUUUAGAACGUCGUGAGACAGUUCGGUCCCUAUCUGCCGUGGGCGUUGGAAGAUUGAAGGGGGCUGCUCCUAGUACGAGAGGACCGGAGUGGACGAACCUCUGGUGUUCGGGUUGUGUCGCCAGACGCAUUGCCCGGUAGCUAAGUUCGGAAUCGAUAACCGCUGAAAGCAUCUAAGCGGGAAGCGAGCCCUGAGAUGAGUCUUCCCUGAUACUUUAAGUAUCCUAAAGGGUUGUCGGAGACUACGACGUUGAUAGGUCAGGUGUGUAAGUGCUGUGAGGCAUUGAGCUAACUGAUACUAAUUGCCCGUGAGGCUUAACCAUACAACACCCAAGGGGUUU
rnacentral:rRNA from 1 species